ensembl:lncRNA
CAAAAACCCCAGGAAGAUUGACACUUCAUGUGCACUGGAUUGGCAUAUUUUUGCAUUUCUCAGAGAGCCUGGAUUGGCCUGACUGACAUGAUGAAGAGGAGACCUGGAAAUGGUCCCACGUCUCGUCAUCCUGCUUCUCUGUCCUGGAUUCCCCACUCUACUUCUCCCUUGGAUUCCCCUCCAGACCUGCUUUACCCAGUCCCAACCCCUCUCGCUCCAGCCCCAGCCUCCGCACCUGGUUUCCUGCAACCCGCCCAAGCUUCCCCUGACCUGCACUCCAUCUUCAACCCUGUGUUUUAAUAAAUACCUUGGUUA